GACGUAGGGUCCAAGCGUUGUCCGGAUUUACUGGGCGUAAAGAGCGCGUAGGCGGUCUGUUAAGUGUGAAGUGAAAUCUUGGGGCUCAACCCCGAAACUGCUUUACAUACUGGCAGACUGGAGGGAUGCAGAGGUUUGUGGAAUUCCUGGUGUAGCGGUGAAAUGCAUUGAUAUCAGGAGGAACACCGGUGGCGAAGGCGGGUCUCUGGGCAGUAACUGACGCUGAGGAGCGAAAGCGUGGGGAGCGAACAGG
rnacentral:rRNA from 1 species